ACGCGGUCUGAGUCGAUCACAGCCAGCAACACCCUGCCGAGCGCCGCCCUGCUCUUAUCAGCCGGCCGUGUGUUUGUAGGUCAGACGGUGUCCUGUUCUCAUGUGAGGGCGGCACUUUGUGACUUGGGACACAUUCACAGUGAGCUGGCAAAAUGGUUAAUGAGUAACUCAGCAUCUGAAACGCCCUCCGUGUUUGAAGACAGUCCACGACCCAAAAAACAACAAGAACAAGGAUAAACCAGAGGAACGUGAAACAGGUGAUGAUAAGUGUCUUACCGUCGGCCCUGAGGGUCAGCAGCAGAGCGGCGGCAAACACGGCCCACCAGAGCGGC